rnacentral:rRNA from 1 species
CGAGCGUUAAUCGGAAUUACUGGGCGUAAAGGGUCUGUAGGUGGUUUGUUAAGUCAGAUGUGAAAGCCCAGGGCUCAACCUUGGAACUGCAUUUGAUACUGGCAAACUAGAGUAUGGUAGAGGAAUGGGGAAUUUCUGGUGUAGCGGUGAAAUGCGUAGAGAUCAGAAGGAACACCAAUGGCGAAGGCAACAUUCUGGACCAAUACUGACACUGAGGGACGAAAGCGUGGGGAUCAAACAGGAUUAGAUACCCUGGUAGUCCACGCUGUAAACGAUGAGUACUAGCUGUUGGAUUCGGUGUAAAGGAUCUAGUGGCGUAGCUAACGCGUUAAGUACUCCGCCUGGGGACUACGGCCGCAAGGCUAAAACUCAAAGGAAUUGACGGGGACCCGCACAAGCGGUGGAGCAUGUGGUUUAAUUCGAUGCAACGCGAAGAACCUUACCUGGUCUUGACAUCCUGCGAACUUUCUAGAGAUAGAUUGGUGCCUUCGGGAACGCAGUGACAGGUGCUGCACGGCUGUCGUCAGCUCGUGUUGUGAAAUGUUGGGUUAAGUCCCGCAACGAGCGCAACCCCUAUUGAUAGUUACCAUCAUUAAGUUGGGUACUCUAUUGAGACUGCCGCUGACAAGGCGGAGGAAGGUGGGGACGACGUCAAGUCAUCAUGGCCCUUACGACCAGGGCUACACACGUGCUACAAUGGGUAUUACAGAGGGCAGCGAAGUAGCGAUAUGGAGCGAAACUCAGAAAGGUACUCUUAGUCCGGAUUGCAGUCUGCAACUCGACUGCAUGAAGUCGGAAUCGCUAGUAAUCGCAGGUCAGAAUACUGCGGUGAAUACGUUCCCGGGUCUUGUACACACCGCCCGUCACACCAUGGGAGUGGGUUGCUCCAGAAGUAGAUAGCUUAACGAAUGGGCGUUUACCACGGAG